rnacentral:rRNA from 1 species
GGGCCCGCACAAGCGGUGGAGUAUGUGGUUUAAUUCGAUGCAACGCGAAGAACCUUACCAGGGUUUGACAUCCUGCGAAUCUCUUGGAAACGAGAGAGUGCCUUCGGGAGCGCAGUGACAGGUGGUGCAUGGCUGUCGUCAGCUCGUGUCGUGAGAUGUUGGGUUAAGUCCCGCAACGAGCGCAACCCACGUCUUUAGUUGCCAGCAUUUAGUUGGGCACUCUAGAGAGACCGCCGGUGAUAAACCGGAGGAAGGUGUGGAUGACGUCAAGUCAUCAUGCCCCUUACAUCCUGGGCUACACACGUACUACAAUGGCUAGGACAGACGGCCGCAAACCCGCGAGGGGAGCCAA